rnacentral:tmRNA from 1 species
GGGGCUGAUUCUGGAUUCGACGGAUUCGCGAAACCCAAGGUGCAUGCCGAGGUGCGGUGGCCUCGUAAAAAACCGCAAAAAAUAGUUGCAAACGACGAAAACUACGCACUAGCAGCUUAAUAACCUGCUUAGAGCCCUCUCUCCCUAGCCUCCGCUCUUAGGACGGGGAUCAAGAGAGGUCAAACCUAAAAGAGCUCGUGUGGAAACCUUGCCUGGGGUGGAAGCAUUAAAACUAAUCAGGAUAGUUUGUCAGUAGCGUGUCCAUCCGCAGCUGGCCGGCGAAUGUAAUGAUUGGACUAAGCAUGUAGUGCCGACGGUGUAGUAAUUUCGGACGGGGGUUCAAAUCCCCCCAGCUCCACCA